GGAUAUAGCUCAGUUGGUAGAGAGAUUGCCUUGUAUGCGCAGGCCCUGGGUUCAAUCCCCAGCACCA
rnacentral:tRNA from 1 species